GGACCGUCCCCGGAGGAGCUGGGUCCAGGCCGAGCGCGGCUGGCCCCUCCGCACUGCAUUUAGGAGGUGGGAGGAGCGGCGCGCGGUGCGCACAGGAAAUCUGAUAGGUUGCAGCUACCAGCAGACAUUGCUUUGAGAAUGGCUAGUGACAUCUGACAUGGCUCAGAAAAACUCAGGUUCUCAGCCAUACAGGAGGAGGUCUGAAAUCCACAAUGGCCGGAGCAGAUGUACAGUGAUGUCCGAAAGGCCAUGAAGCAGGCCACUUUGUUCGCAGUCUAUUUGAUUGAGGAUUCUUCAGCUGUUGGUCGUAAUUUUGUUGCUUUUAUGAGAGAAGGUGAGCUCCAGUCCUUCUACUCCGCCAUCUUAAUCCCAUCUCCUAGAAUUUUAUAAUUUUUUUACCCAGCUCAGCAGUUUUUUUCUGAAAUUUAUGAGCUUUCUUGAUGAUAACACACUUUUGCAGAACCACCAGAGUAUAAUAGUAAGUGUAUAUCUAUCUUAGGGGACAUUGGCUGAAAGGGUCCACCUUGGCCAGGCGUGUUAAUAGCCGCUGGCAUGGGCUUUCUCACAACAGGAGGUCCUGAUAAGGAAUAGGCUGUUGCCCUGAAGACUACCCAGGAGGGUCUGGAAGGAGCCAAUAGGAGAGAGGAGAUGACCAACUUCCCAGGAUCCUUGAUGCUGGAAUCCAUUUGGCUGAGAGGUGCAGACUCCACCAGGAAGGACCCUGGGCCAGACCAAGUAUGGGCCAAGCAAGAUGAUUGGCCAGGGACAACCCAGAAACUAACCCCAUUCCCAUAAAACCAGGGACUGGGAGCCACGUGGCAGAGCAGUUCUCCUGGACUCCCCCACCCUGCUGCUCUCUGCCAGGGGCCCCUUCCCAAUAAAGUCUUUUGCUUUGUCAGCAGGUAUGUUUCCUUGGACAGGUCAUUUCUGAGUGUUACAAAGAAGCCUGUUCUCGGGCCCUGGAAGGGGUCCCCCUUUCUGCAACAUAUACAUGACACAGAGCCUUAAAAGGGCACAGCUUAACACCUGAUUUUAAAAUAAUCAAUAAAGAAAACUUGCUGACAAUAACCAGGAUUAGGGUUGACAGCCCCGUAUGCCAGGCACAUCCAAAUUUAGAAAUUUCAUGUACUUGUAGAAUGCCUAAUAAUAAUACGCAUAAUAUUAACAUGACCUAAGUAGGUUUAUCCCUCUUGUGAAAAUUUCUUCCUGCAUUUUAACAUACCAAAUAAUCCUGGUUAAUUUAGUGUUUCUCUGAGAUGCCUCAGGCUUCCCCUGGAGCAUCCCAAAUUUAGCUGGAGGUCAAAAGACCUUGUAAAACUACCAAAUAACUUAUUUGCUUAACUAAGAUGAGAAAGUAUUUCAAAAGCAAAUACAGAUCACUUAAAGGCAAAGAACCUCACACUAUCUGUUAUUAAAAGUAAUGUUUCAAACAAACUUGGGAGAAACCAAAUCCAGUCUUGUCUCGGCCCAUUCCCAACAAAAUCCAUUUAUCCCACUAAAUGUCCUUUUCCUUUUCCACAGACCUCCCACAACUUUCUGGAUCCACAUUAGUUUGUCUCUUCUUUCCUUUUCCAUUCAGAAGCAGCCACCUCUAGGACAAAAAUCAGCCCUUUCCCUUAAGAAAAUGGAGUGCCAUUCCUCAUACCUUCUGUUUAAAAGACACAUCCUGGAGUUCCCAUUGUGGCUCAGGGGUAAGGAACCACAAUGUCCAUGAGGAUGCGGGUUUGAUCCCUGGCCCCGCUCAGUGGGUUAAGCA